rnacentral:rRNA from 1 species
AGAGUUUGAUCCUGGCUCAGGAUGAACGCUAGCUACAGGCUUAACACAUGCAGGUCGAGGGGAAACGACAUCGAAAGCUUGCUUUUGAUGGGCGUCGACCGGCGCACGGGUGAGUAACGCGUAUCCAACCUGCCCACCACUUGGGGAUAACCUUGCGAAAGUAAGACUAAUACCCAAUGACGUCUCUAGAAGACAUCUGAAAGAGAUUAAAGAUUUAUCGGUGAUGGAUGGGGAUGCGUCUGAUUAGCUUGUUGGCGGGGUAACGGCCACCAAGGCGACGAUCAGUAGGGGUUCUGAGAGGAAGGUCCCCCANAUUGGAACUGAGACACGGUCCAAACUCCUACGGGAGCA